GGGGAAUCUUCCGCAAUGGGCGCAAGCCUGACGGAGCAACGCCGCGUGAGGGAUGAAGGCCUCUGGGCUGUAAACCUCUUUUACCAAGGAAGAAGAUCUGACGGUACUUGAUGAAUAAGCCACGGCUAAUUCCGUGCCAGCAGCCGCGGUAAUACGGGAGUGGCAAGCGUUAUCCGGAAUUAUUGGGCGUAAAGCGUCCGCAGGCGGUCUUGUAAGUCUGUCGUUAAAGCGUGGAGCUUAACUCCAUUUCAGCGAUGGAAACUGUAAGACUAGAGUGUGGUAGGGGCAGAGGGAAUUCCCGGUGUAGCGGUGAAAUGCGUAGAUAUCGGGAAGAACACCAGUGGCGAAGGCGCUCUGCUGGGCCAUAACUGACGCUCAUGGACGAAAGCCAGGGGAGCGAAAGGGAUUAGAUACCCCUGUAGUC
rnacentral:rRNA from 1 species